UAAUACGAAGGGGGCUAGCGUUGUUCGGAAUUACUGGGCGUAAAGCGCGCGUAGGCGGUGCAUCAAGUCAGAGGUGAAAGCCCAGGGCUCAACCCUGGAACUGCCUCCUAAACUCCUGGUCUUGAGUUCGAGAGAGGUGAGUGGAAUUCCAAGUGUAGAGGUGAAAUUCGUAGAUAUUUGGAAGAACACCGGUGGCGAAGGCGGCUACCUGGUCCGAUACUGACGCUGAGGUGCGAAAGCGUGGGGAGCGAACAGGAUUAGAUACCCUGGUAGUCCACGCCGUAAACGAUGAGUGCUAAGUGU
rnacentral:rRNA from 1 species